CUGAAAUGACAGCAUGUUUAUUUAUUAAUAAAUGACCUUGGCCUGGCUUCCAGAGAAAUUAUAACCCUUUUGCACUGGCACAGUGCCGCACAGCUAACAGGCACACAGAGACACACUCCUCACAUCUCUCUCUCUCUCUCAUCCACACUCCACCGAGAUUUUCGGCAUGACAGAGCCCCUCUGAGAAACUAAGAGGAGAUUGUGAAAUCGGCCUGCCGUGGAACCUUUAGCACCACCACCUAGGGCCAGCAGAGAGUUGGCUAAAAGAAGAGGAGAGAUAAGAGUAUUUGUCUGGGAACCGUCUGCGCGGAGUGACCGGUAGAGUUCCAGCCCGAGGGUCCAGGUGGGGUGAUGGAGGCUGGAGAUUUCUGACUGAGGUGCGCCUGGUGCUUUAGGUUCCUGUGGAGAAGAGGACCAGACGCUAUGUACAGCCAGCAGCAGUAGAAAGAUG